rnacentral:lncRNA from 1 species
GUGCGGUGUCUUUCUAAACUCUCUCGGCCGUCCGAGCUUCCGCAGUACCAUUCAAACUCCUUCAGCAGCCGACCUUCCACAGCAUCCUCCAGAUUCCUCCGACGGACGAACUCCUACCGUACCCUCUGGAUUUCUCCAAUAAUGAGCUCUUACGAUUGUUUAUUGGACUGCUCCAAAUGCUUUCCGGAUUUCUUCCAGACUCCGUCAAUGUCGGAACUUCUCCAGCAGCAGGGCU